UACGGAGGGGACUAGCGUUGUUCGGAUUUACUGGGCGUAAAGGGCGCGUAGGCGGUCAGCACAAGUCAGUUGUGAAAUCUCCGGGCUUAACUCGGAAAGGUCAACUGAUACUGUGCGACUAGAGUGCGGAAGGGGCAACUGGAAUUCUCGGUGUAGCGGUGAAAUGCGUAGAUAUCGAGAGGAACACCUGCGGCGAAGGCGGGUUGCUGGGCCGACACUGACGCUGAUGCGCGAAAGCCAGGGGAGCGAACGGG
rnacentral:rRNA from 1 species